AUCACUUUUUCGCCUUUUGGAUAAGGUCACGUGGUGUAUCUCUUCUUAUCAGUUUAAUAUCUGAUAUGUCCUCUAUCUGAGGACAAUAUUUUAAACAGAUUUUUGGAAUGAGGAAAUGGAACAGAAGAUUGCUCUAUCCACUCCAUGCACUGAGCUGGUAUUGCAGUACUUUCAGGAACAGUGCUCCCCCU
rnacentral:snRNA from 1 species